rnacentral:rRNA from 1 species
AUGCCUUACACAUGCAAGUCGAACGGCAGCACGGGAGCUUGCUCCUGGUGGCGAGUGGCGAACGGGUGAGUAAUAUAUCGGAACGUGCCCUAGAGUGGGGGAUAACUAGUCGAAAGAUUAGCUAAUACCGCAUACGAUCUACGGGUGAAAGUGGGGGAUCGCAAGACCUCAUGCUCGUGGAGCGGCCGAUAUCUGAUUAGCUAGUUGGUGAGGUAAAGGCUCACCAAGGCAUCGAUCAGUAGCUGGUCUGAGAGGACGACCAGCCACACUGGGACUGAGACACGGCCCAGACUCCUACGGGAGGCAGCAGUGGGGAAUUUUGGACAAUGGGGGCAACCCUGAUCCAGCAAUGCCGCGUGAGUGAAGAAGGCCUUCGGGUUGUAAAGCUCUUUUGUCAGGGAAGAAACGGUGAGGGCUAAUAUCCUUUGCUAAUGACGGUACCUGAAGAAUAAGCACCGGCUAACUACGUGCCAGCAGCCGCGGUAAUACGUAGGGUGCAAGCGUUAAUCGGAAUUACUGGGCGUAAAGCGUGCGCAGGCGGUUAUGCAAGACAGAUGUGAAUCCCCGGGCUCAACCUGGGAAUUGCAUUUGUGACUGUAUGGCUAGAGUGUGUCAGAGGGGGGUAGAAUUCCACGUGUAGCAGUGAAAUGCGUAGAUAUGUGGAGGAAUACCGAUGGCGAAGGCAGCCCCCUGGGAUAACACUGACGCUCAUGCACGAA